AAAAUCUAUGCUUUUUCAUAUUUAUCACGAAAUUUAUAUGUUAAACUUACUUUUACAAAAUUAUUAACUUUGUCAUGAAAACAAAAAUCUAUGUUUUUUCAUAUUUGUCAAUGUUCUCAUACUUUCAAAGAAUAUACUUUCUUGUAGGAGGCACAAACAUAUGCUCAGGAGAACAGUCUUUUCUUCAUGGAAACUUCAGCAAAAACCGCAGCUAAUGUCAAGGAGAUAUUCUAUGAAAUUGCAAGAAGGUUACCAAGAGUACAACCAACAGAAAAUCCAACAGGAAUGGUUCUACCAGAUAGGGCCAUGGAUAGGGGAGCGAGUUCAUCUUGUUGUGCUUAGUUAUAUGUAAUGGAAUACAUGCACUUCCCUUAAAGGGGACCUUCUGGUCAGUCAAUAUUGAGUUAUGGACUUGUGUGUUUUGAAUAUCUUUGCUUUGUUUUUCUUGUGUGAAAAUUUGAUUUACCAAUUAAAAAGGGUUGUACAUGAAGAUAUUUCAUAUUGAAAUAUGAUGUCUACCGCAUAUUGGAACUA